AAAUUGAAGAGUUUGAUCAUGGCUCAGAUUGAACGCUGGCGGCAGGCCUAACACAUGCAAGUCGAGCGGUAGCACAGAGAGCUUGCUCUCGGGUGACGAGCGGCGGACGGGUGAGUAAUGUCUGGGAAACUGCCUGAUGGAGGGGGAUAACUACUGGAAACGGUAGCUAAUACCGCAUAAUGUCGCAAGACCAAAGUGGGGGACCUUCGGGCCUCAUGCCAUCAGAUGUGCCCAGAUGGGAUUAGCUAGUAGGUGGGGUAACGGCUCACCUAGGCGACGAUCCCUAGCUGGUCUGAGAGGAUGACCAGCCACACUGGAACUGAGACACGGUCCAGACUCCUACGGGAGGCAGCAGUGGGGAAUAUUGCACAAUGGGCGCAAGCCUGAUGCAGCCAUGCCGCGUGUGUGAAGAAGGCCUUCGGGUUGUAAAGCACUUUCAGCGGGGAGGAAGGCGAUAAGGUUAAUAACCUCAUCGAUUGACGUUACCCGCAGAAGAAGCACCGGCUAACUCCGUGCCAGCAGCCGCGGUAAUACGGAGGGUGCAAGCGUUAAUCGGAAUUACUGGGCGUAAAGCGCACGCAGGCGGUCUGUCAAGUCGGAUGUGAAAUCCCCGGGCUCAACCUGGGAACUGCAUUCGAAACUGGCAGGCUAGAGUCUUGUAGAGGGGGGUAGAAUUCCAGGUGUAGCGGUGAAAUGCGUAGAGAUCUGGAGGAAUACCGGUGGCGAAGGCGGCCCCCUGGACAAAGACUGACGCUCAGGUGCGAAAGCGUGGGGAGCAAACAGGAUUAGAUACCCUGGUAGUCCACGCCGUAAACGAUGUCGAUUUGGAGGUUGUGCCCUUGAGGCGUGGCUUCCGGAGCUAACGCGUUAAAUCGACCGCCUGGGGAGUACGGCCGCAAGGUUAAAACUCAAAUGAAUUGACGGGGGCCCGCACAAGCGGUGGAGCAUGUGGUUUAAUUCGAUGCAACGCGAAGAACCUUACCUGGUCUUGACAUCCACAGAACUUUCCAGAGAUGGAUUGGUGCCUUCGGGAACUGUGAGACAGGUGCUGCAUGGCUGUCGUCAGCUCGUGUUGUGAAAUGUUGGGUUAAGUCCCGCAACGAGCGCAACCCUUAUCCUUUGUUGCCAGCGGU
rnacentral:rRNA from 2 species